rnacentral:rRNA from 1 species
GACGAACGCUGGCGGCGUGCUUAACACAUGCAAGUCGAACGGUAAGGCCCUUCGGGGUACGCGAGUGGCGAACGGGUGAGUAACACGUGGGUGAUCUGCCCUGCACUUCGGGAUAAGCCUGGGAAACUGGGUCUAAUACCGGAUAGGACCACUGCCUGCAUGGGUGGUGGUGGAAAGCUUUUGCGGUGUGGGAUGGGCCCGCGGCCUAUCAGCUUGUUGGUGGGGUGAUGGCCUACCAAGGCGACGACGGGUAGCCGGCCUGGGAGGGUGACCGGCCACACUGGGACUGAGAUACGGCCCAGACUCCUACGGGAGGCAGCAGUGGGGAAUAUUGCACAAUGGGCGCAAGCCUGAUGCAGCGACGCCGCGUGAGGGAUGACGGCCUUCGGGUUGUAAACCUCUUUCAGCACCGACGAAGCGCAAGUGACGGUAGGUGCAGAAGAAGGACCGGCCAACUACGUGCCAGCCGCCGCAGUAA